CUAAAGCCUGGCUUUGAGCCUUCCUUGCUUUCCAUGAGGGCUGGAAGCGUGGCACCUCACACCUUUGUACACGUAAGAACUACUCAUCUGCACCAUCAAAGAAAGGUCCAGGGUCCGGAGUCCGCAGGAUUUAUCCGGAGUCCGGAGGAUUUAUCCGUAGGACCAUCCGUAAUUAACCGAAGUAGUCCUACGUCCGCAGGAUUCUUAUCCGUAGGACUAUCCAUAUGGAAGUAGGACCAUCCGUAAUUAACCGAAGUAGGACUAUCCAUAUUCAGGAGCGGAAUCAAGAAUAGACCCGUCAGUAUCCGGACCAGAAACCAUAAGAAAACUCUGUUCAUUGAUUUUCCCUAGAUUUUUCUAAUGGACCAGUUGCAAUUUCCCGGCUUUUUUGCUUCUAAAUAGGACUUUUUCGACUUUUCUUAUCUAACGAUAAAAGUACUUUUUUGACUGAUUUUUUGUCUUUUCUUGCUACUUCCCUAUGGGCAAAACCUAGCAUUUCCCUCCGCGGAUUCAUCUGAAAUCUAGCAGAUUCAUCUUCAAUCUAGCACAAAUCAAUGAAUAUUGACAAUGAACAAGGCUCAAAGAAUUUGAGUCUGCUUUCAUUCCCAUUUUGAGCUUCUUUCAUUAUCGUUAAUGAGUUCAUUCUUCUUUUCUUUUCUUUUUUCUUUGAUUGACUUUUCACAGUCCGGAGGACAGGUCCGAAGGCGCAAAGAAUAUUGCGAGGAGUUGACUAUCCAUAUUCAUGAAAAAGGACGGGUGAGGCUCAAAGAAUUUGAGUCUUUAUUCGCCUAUGAAGUAAUUCUUCCACGAAUCAACUCAAUCGAGACGAGGGACAUAGGCUCCCAGUACGAAGGGACUGAAGCGAACCCCACCGGUGCCCGCCCUUGAUCUAUUUUAGAGGCAUAUUCAGUCCUGAAUGAGUAAAUGAGUGAAUCUGGGCACGCACAUCUUGGAACCUUCUCUUUUCAUUAAGAAAGAAAGAAUCCCAGGUUCAAAGAAUCCAGGGCUAAGAGGACUAGGGUGCGAACCCCAUCCACCGAUUCCUUCUUUCAUAAGUCAGAGUCUGAAAGCAUAAGUCGACAUCAAUAUAGGUCCUAAGCUAGCAUAGGACGGACGGGGCGGAGUUGGAAGCUCUCACGGAGGGGCGAAGCGACUGGGAAGGUGGGUUAGCAAGGCUGGAUUCAAUUGAGUGGGUGGAAGCGAGACCUGUCCUCCGACCUCUUUUAUCCACUAAUAUUUGACUCCGGACUUGUUAAUGGAACUAAUAUGUUCGGGAGGACCUCUUUUAUCCGUCCUCUUUAGAGUCCUUCGGACGUCCUCAGUCCUAUUCAACCCAUUCCAUUGAAUUUCUGGAAAUAAGGGUCAAGAUGCGCCAUAAGACAGGUCCGAAGGACUAUCCAUUAGGGGAUUUGAUGACGAACGUUAGGAUCAAUGAAAUGAAUUUGAUGAGAAAGAAUAUUGCGAGAAGUCAUGAUCCCUUUCAUGCAGCUGCUUAAAAAAGAGCUUUUUGCGAAGUCAUGAUCCCAAAGCAAAGGCCUUAAAUAGGGCAAUAUUCUUUGCGCCUUGCACUCCUUUCUUCUUUUCUUAGAUAAAUGCGCUUCGCUUCUUCUCAAAUUCUUUGAGCCUUAGUUAAGCGCAAAGAAUAUUGCGUCAUGAUCCCUUUCAUGCAGCUGCUUAAAAAAGAGCUUUUCAUUUGCGAAAAAGUAUUAUGGAAAUAAUAUCCGGACUGAUUUUUUAUGGAACUGAUUUUCAAAGAUUCCACUAAAACUGAACCGCAAUAUUCUUUGCACCUAGGCUUUCUCCCAACAAAUCUUCGUUCUUAGUUAUUUGAACCUUCAAUCUUUUCAAAAAGCUUAUUGAUUGAUUCAGGGCUUAGCCCUCCUUCUUAGAACCCAUUGAGGGGAGGCCCGGGAAGGGGAGAGUGGCCGAGCGGUCAAAAGCGACAGACUGUAAAUCUGUUGAAGUUUUUCUACGUAGGUUCGAAUCCUGCCUCUCCCACGGAGCUUCUUUGUUGUAGACUGAAGAGAAGAGAAAGGAAAGGAGGCAUUCGUCGUCAGCGUAGGAAGAAGGCCGACCGAGCCAAUAUGUGCUUUCUUUUUUUUUGCCGUGCCGUGAAGUUCAAUUGUAUCGUAUUUCAGUUUAGAGAGGUUGCCGAAUUACUACGAUCUAUAGAUUCCCAUCGAUAGACAAUCCCAACCAGAAUAGAAGCGAGUCGCUUCCGCUUUGGCUUGUAGUCCUUGUCUUUUAGCUUAUGUAGUGGUCGGCCUUCCGACACGCGCGCGCCCGCCAGAAUGCCCCCUUGCUUCUGCACGAAGCCCAAGCCAAUACAUAGGAUAGGCGAAGGAAAGACCCCCCAUUUCAUAGCGCCUGGGGAAGGCAAGUUUUCUCGAGGAUUGGAGGCGCGACAGGCUCAAUUCAGAAAUGGAUAGUCCGGAGGUUCAAAGAAUAUUGACUAGACUUCCAGUCCGGAGGCGCAAUUCAAUAUGCGAAUGAGUGCAAGCGAAAACUAAUAGAUUUCAUAGUCAAGAGGACGGAUACCGCACCUCGCAAUAUUUUCAGUGGAAUAAGACUGAUCUGGAGCCUUUGUUUUUGACUCCUUGCUAUUUAAUGGAUAAACAAGUCCUCCGGACGGGUCCAGCAAAAACAAAGCGGAAAACGCAAGUCAAAUUCUCUAAUGGAUAGGCCUUGCACUCCUUAAUAGAAAGCCGAGCAUUUGCACGCAAUAUUCUUUGCACCUUGUUUUUGUUCUUCGGGCCUUCGUAGCUUAACUUAAUAUGGGGAUCUGAUCUUUGCUCCUAACUACGGGGUCCGACCGCCCCGUGGGAAUAAGAUGAAAGUAGCGGAGUAGUUUGAAAGAAAGGAUAUAAGUUUCAGUGGAAUAAAGGGAGAUAGGCUUGAAUCUUUUUAGUAGGAAAAUCAAGGUCCAGGUGACGGAAGAAAAAGUCAAAAGUCUAUCCCUGUCAUUGAACAGAUUCAUUGAGGACUUUCAUCUUCUAUAUUAUGAGGCUUACUAGUAAUGCUGAAGUUCCUCCUACGGGAAUCAAAAGUGAAAGGAAGGAAUAAGGACUCAAAUUCUUUGAGCCUCCGGAGCCUUCAUCAUUUCAUUUUGAUGCCUUCUACGGCGUUCAAGUCAAAGAGUAUUCAAGAUCAGAGUUUCAGAGCUUUAUCAAAACUUAUCUUUAUCUUGUCUUUGAAGAAAGCAAUAAAAAAAGUUAAGACGAGCUAUAUACUCCGAAGGACGUCGUCUGGACCCAGCCGUAGGCUUCUUAAAAUAGUGAGGAGUCCGGAGUCCGCAGGAUUUAUCCUACGUCCUACGUCCGGAGUCCGCAGGAUUUAUCCGGAGGACUAUCCAUAUGGAAGUAGUCCGGAGGAUUUAUCCGUAGGACCAUCCGUAAUUAACCGAAGUAGGACCAUCCAUAUGGAGGGAAGUAGUCCGGAGUCCGCAGGAUUCUUAUCCGUAGGACUAUCCAUAUGGAAGUAGGACCAUCCGUAAUUAACCGAAGGAGGACUUUCCGUAAUUAACCGAACUUUGCGCCUGGACUGGACUAGAAAUCCAUUAUUUUUCACUUUUAUCCGGCUGCUCCUACGGAGGCGCCAUAACCAUAAGACAGGGAUAUUGUUGGAGCUUUAUUUUGCAUUUCAGAUUUCUUGAGUUGCGCUCCUUAACAGAAUAAGGAAUGAGCUUCUCCCCUCUCCUUACAGUCGAGUUAUUUCAUAACCUUCGCCUCGCAAAUUCUUUGCACCUUGCGCUCCUCUCUAGUCUCGCGCUCUUUGCUUCGCACAUCUGCGUCCUUCUUUUUGUUCUUCGCGCCUCCGGACCAUUAAUCAGUCCUUCGCCUCAUUCUUAAGUCAGAAAAUUCAGGCUCAAGAUGAGAUUCUUUCUUUUCUGGCGGCUUAAUAAGCGAGUCAUGAUCCCUUUAAAGCAGACGUUAGGAGCAAUUCAAUAUAUCCUAGGCUUGAUUCAUGAAAGCUAUAAAACCCUAAAAUAGCAAGGAGUCUUAUGGAACUUAAAGGACUGAGGUUCAAUAGGGUAGAGUCUCAUCACCCCAUUAAUAAAGUUUGGAGUCUUAUGGAACUUGAAUAAGGAGCGGAGCAAAAACAAAGGUCCAGGUGACUAUUCAAUCUAUUUAUUGAGAAGAGGACGGCUCGGGAUGGAUUUAGGAGUCUUUGUGCGAGCCGUAUGCGGUGAGAGUCGCACGUACGGUAACGAGGGGGGUUCGCGUCUAUACGUGUAGUGUGGUGGUUGGGCCUACCCACCCUAUUUG
rnacentral:lncRNA from 1 species